UGGGGAAUUUUGGACAAUGGGGGAAACCCUGAUCCAGCCAUCCCGCGUGUGCGAUGAAGGCCUUCGGGUUGUAAAGCACUUUUGGCAGGAAAGAAACGUCAUGGGUUAAUACCCCGUGAAACUGACGGUACCUGCAGAAUAAGCACCGGCUAACUACGUGCCAGCAGCCGCGGUAAUACGUAGGGUGCAAGCGUUAAUCGGAAUUACUGGGCGUAAAGCGUGCGCAGGCGGUUCGGAAAGAAAGAUGUGAAAUCCCAGAGCUUAACUUUGGAACUGCAUUUUAAACUACCGGGCUAGAGUGUGUCAGAGGGAGGUGGAAUUCCGCGUGUAGCAGUGAAAUGCGUAGAUAUGCGGAGGAACACCGAUGGCGAAGGCAGCCUCCUGGGAUAACACUGACGCUCAUGCACGAAAGCGUGGGGAGCAAACA
rnacentral:rRNA from 1 species